GAGGCCGCCUCCACCAUCUACCACCGUACCCUCUCCAGAGCUAGAACAAACGCAUCAUCCUUGCGAGGUCUGCCGUCGACGCCACCACGGUGCCAGACAGCGCCACCAUCCUGCACGUGUCCGCCUACACGUGCCUGUCGACGAACCACCGCAGCGCCAUGCCGCCGGGCUACACCGUAUGGCUCACGGUAGACCAAACACCGCUCCUCCUCUUGUCCCG
rnacentral:lncRNA from 1 species